rnacentral:lncRNA from 1 species
UUCUGAGACACGUUAAUGUCUACAAAACAUUAGGAAGCCGGAGGCGAUCUUGUCACACAGAUGUUGAGAGGUUAUCGUGAUGCCUCUGCUGUUAUUUCACGGGUUUUAUGGUACCACGCCACACAUCGCAUACUCUCUAGCCAGGGAACGCAAUGGAGAUUGUUGUGCCUGCUUGCAAGGUCUGGAGCCAGGGCAGCCGUAUUGGGCCCAGGAGGGAAGAUAUCCAAGAAAUACAUGCUGAGAAUAGCAGCACUAAAAAUGGAAAGAGCCUCAGCUAUUCACCAUGUCACUGGCUUGCCGAAUGACCAACCCCAGAGCUUCUCUACCUUGGAACUUCUUGUGAUGUACGUUGAUAAACCCCUGGUAGCUCACCCCAGCUGGGGUUGAAUCUUCUGUUUCCUGCAGCUGAAGGCAUUCCAUCUGGCUUGCUUCUCUCACGUGAUUGACCCAUUGUCUUCCUGGUGGCUAAGAAACAUGACUUUCUCAUGCCAACAGUGACCAUGAGCACUGCAUCAGACCAGGCCCCACGGCUGAUACAAGGAGUUCCCAGGAGACAAAGCCCUGUCUUGGGAAGUGAGGUUAGAGAGACAAGACAGAGGGGCGUGGGAAGUUGACAGCAAACCUAGAGCAGUCACAAGGACAAGGAACGGGGCAGUGAGUGCUCUGGCACCUCAUGGUUCACAGUGGGCCAGACUGUGGGGGCACCAGGGAGGGCUUCCAAAUAGUCAUAGCAAAGGAUCUUUCUGCAUCUGAUUACCAACUCCUUCACUGUUCUACCAUUCUUUAAGCCCCAGAUCUCUGACCUCAAGUG